UGUGGUAUGCACGUGUAUAGUUGAAGGUGGUUUUAGCGAGCGGAGCUCUUCUAGUGGGAAAGGUGGGGCUUUUGGGGGACGAGGCGACAUGGCACCACUGAAGCUGGCCUAGAGAGUUAUCGUUGGGAGAUCGAAACCAUGGCUGUGUGCAAGGGCUCGCAGGACUGUAAUGCAUUUAAUACUACUCAGCUUCCAUGUAAUUUUGAGCAUCAUAUUAUCAAUGGCCACAAUAUCCGAAGUCUCAUGGGCAAGAAAUACUUUGCAAUAUUUACCAAAGCAUCAUCUUCAAAUUUUUGGCUGGAUAUAUUGAUUGACCGUCACCAUUAUGAGAAGUUUUUGUGAUCAGUAACAGCCUCUAAGAACUAAAUUUAGGAUCUGUUUGGGGCAAUUGUAGAUGUUUGAAGAAGCAAUUAUGAAGCUUUUGCAGAAGAAACUGUUUAAAAAAGUGCAGUGGUUAUUACAAAUUUUUUUUUCAAAAAGGUAAAUUGCAACUUUCUGAUAUCCACCACAUUUAGCCGGGUCAGGUUGCAAAAUGCAACUUCUCACCACAACUUUUUAUAAAUGUGUUUUUCCAAACAUCAUAAGUGUGGUGGAGUGCCAGCACCAUCACCUUACCGCUGCCCCAAAUGCUUUGUGACAUUUGCUUUGUUGUUGUGUAACCUUUUUAAAUAAGAAAAAAAAAAGUUUAUAAUAAUA